rnacentral:lncRNA from 1 species
UACAGUUUGCUGCAGUCUUCAAGAUUUUAAAAAUCAGAGAAUCUCACAGUCUGCACUUGCUGAUGACACUUCUGUAAGAAACACCUAUAAGAAGUAAAGGAAAAGAUAUUGGAAAUAUAAUAAGAAGGCUGGAAUGAUAUUAACCUCUUCUAGAACUGUUCGUUAAGUCCUGCACACUUGUGGAGCAUUAUUUGAACCAUCCAGUGUAACAGAACAAUGGAGUACAGGAGUGCUGCAGAGCCCAGUGCAGCUAUAGUGGGACAGGCGAAAGCACUCUGCACACCUCCAGAUGAGGCACAGCUGAAGCAAGCCCUUCUUCCUCAGCCCUAUUGUAACCAAAACGGUGCUGGAAUAAGAGGCUUGAACUACCAAGAGCCCAUCCACAGCAGCCUGAACAGCCCUUGUAUGAAGCGCGAAAUACCCUUAUACUCUCUUUUUUUUUGUCUCUGCGGUUUUAUUUAUUUGAUUUAAAGCUAAAUAUCUUUGCUAUAGAUAACUGGUAAGUGAAUGCCUCUACAAUAUAAAGCAAAACUAGCUCCUGUAAACUGUUGCAUGGACUGAGGGGGUCUUAAGGGUGGUGCCAGGACCCACAGGAGUUGGUACACAGAAAAUACUUGUUCCUGAGUUUGCCGGUGUUUCUGCUGUGAGAAAUCUUCUCACUGCCCUCUUGCACUAUUUCAAAUGGGGGAACUUCCAGCUAAUUUCACGUAGGGUCUGUGUGUACUUCCAAUUUUAAAACCUACCUUGUGUAAGCACUGAUGGGAGCAGUUGCCAAGAGCUUUGCUAUUCCAUGUAAAUGACCACAUAUUCAAAAGUAGAACUAGCUAUUGCAAUACAUCAGCACGCUCUUCUCUGAAAGCAAGGAAUUAAUUGAACUUCCACAGGGAUGGAACCUGCCUGUACAAGCCUUCUUUAAAAUGAAUAAAAUUAUAAUUGUUUUGAGCUGCUGAGGUGAG